GGAAGGUGAAUGAUUGGUAAAAUGCUCAAAUAAAGUGCAGUUCCCCUUUAAGAAGAACAUAAGAAAAUACAUGGAAAGUCAGGCAGAAGAAUAUGCGAUGAGAUGCAGAAGCGACUGACAUCCUGUGUCCUCCUGUCCAGGAAUUACACGCCUCCAGCAAGCCCUAAAACAAACAGCUGCAUGAUGGGAACUCCUCAAGACUCCAAAGGGUCACAAUUUAGGACAAAGCAGUCCACAGGUUGCA